rnacentral:rRNA from 1 species
AACGAGCGCUGGCGGCAGGCCUAACACAUGCAAGUCGAACGCCCUAGCAAUAGGGAGUGGCAGACGGGUGAGUAACACGUGGGAACCUUCCCUAUAGUACGGAAUAGCUCAGGGAAACUUGAAGUAAUACCGUAUACGCCCGAGAGGGGAAAGAUUUAUCGCUAUAGGAUGGGCCCGCGUCGGAUUAGCUAGUUGGUGAGGUAAUGGCUCACCAAGGCGACGAUCCGUAGCUGGUUUGAGAGAACGACCAGCCACACUGGGACUGAGACACGGCCCAGACUCCUACGGGAGGCAGCAGUGGGGAAUAUUGGACAAUGGGCGCAAGCCUGAUCCAGCCAUGCCGCGUGAGUGAUGAAGGCCUUAGGGUUGUAAAGCUCUUUUAGCAGGGAAGAUAAUGACUGUACCUGCAGAAUAAGCUCCGGCUAACUCGUGCCAGCAGCCGCGGUAAU